rnacentral:rRNA from 1 species
AGAUUGAACGCUGGCGGCAGGCCUAACACAUGCAAGUCGAGCGGCAGCACGGGUACUUGUACCUGGUGGCGAGCGGCGGACGGGUGAGUAAUGCCUAGGAAUCUGCCUGGUAGUGGGGGAUAACGCUCGGAAACGGACGCUAAUACCGCAUACGUCCUACGGGAGAAAGCAGGGGACCUUCGGGCCUUGCGCUAUCAGAUGAGCCUAGGUCGGAUUAGCUAGUUGGUGAGGU